GACGAACGCUGGCGGCGUGCUUAACACAUGCAAGUCGAACGGAAAGGCCCUGCUUUUGUGGGGUGCUCGAGUGGCGAACGGGUGAGUAACACGUGAGUAACCUGCCCUUGACUUUGGGAUAACUUCAGGAAACUGGGGCUAAUACCGGAUAGGAGCUCCUGCUGCAUGGUGGGGGUUGGAAAGUUUCGGCGGUUGGGGAUGGACUCGCGGCUUAUCAGCUUGUUGGUGGGGUAGUGGCUUACCAAGGCUUUGACGGGUAGCCGGCCUGAGAGGGUGACCGGCCUCAUUGGGACUGAGAUACGGCCCAGACUCCUACGGGAGGCAGCAGUGGGGAAUAUUGCACGAUGGGCGGAAGCCUGAUGCAGCAACGCCGCGUGCGGGAUGACGGCCUUCGGGUUGUAAACCGCUUUCGCCUGUGACGAAGCGUGAGUGACGGUAAUGGGUAAAGAAGCACCGGCUAACUACGUG
rnacentral:rRNA from 1 species